CAGUAGCCGCGGGAAUACAUAGGGUGCGAGCGUUAAUCGGAAUUACUGGGCGUAAAGCGUGCGCAGGCGGUUGUGCAAGACAGAUGUGAAAUCCCCGAGCUUAACUUGGGAACUGCAUUUGUGACUGCACGGCUAGAGUGUGUCAGAGGGGGGUAGAAUUCCACGUGUAGCAGUGAAAUGCGUAGAUAUGUGGAGGAAUACCGAUGGCGAAGGCAGCCCCCUGGGAUAACACUGACGCUCAUGCACGAAAGCGUGGGGAGCAAACAGGAUUAGAGACCCGCGUAGUCCCUGUCUCUUAUAC
rnacentral:rRNA from 1 species